GGGGGUUUAAAAUUUCUCUACCACUAGAUGGCGCUGUAUAAACAUAAAACGCUAAGGCAAUCCAUUUCCUCUUUGAAAUUGGUGGUUUAUUAAUUUAAAUAAAUCUUUAAUGAUAAACCUAACCACCUAACAAAGCAAUACACAAUCCUUUACGUCUCUAUCAAUGAAUACCGACUGGCUUUGAGGAACGGUUCAAAGGCAGCUUCAGGGUUGUUCCAUAACAGAUAGGAAACUGAAUAAACAAAAGAUCAUGAGGACUGGAGAUGAAAAGGCCCAAAGGCCUGUGCUAGCAGAAGACUCCGGAAGAGAUUACAUAUGCAAAUAAUUCCACAGAGCUUAGACCAAGAGAAGCCUACAAACACUGGCUCCUUUCUGGAAAGGUCAGCCUGCUGUUCAGACGAAAUGUGUGCCUCUCAGCAUCUGGGAAUACCUUGGUACCAAGAGCACCUAUUAGGAGAGGCAAGAAGAAAGGCAAAACAAAAGAUAGCUUAGCCUCCACAUUUAUUUUUUAUGACAAGAAC
rnacentral:lncRNA from 1 species